AUUGAACGCUGGCGGCAGGCCUAACCCAUGCACGUCGAACGAGUGGCGGACGGGUGAGUCAUGGCUGGGAAACUGCCUGAUGGAGUGGGAUAACUACUGGAAACGGUAGCUAAUACCGCAUACCAUCGGAUGUGCCCAGAUGGGCUUAGCUAGUAGGUGGGGUAAAGGCUCACCUAGGCGACGAUCCCUAGCUGGUCGGAGAGGAUGACCAGCAACACUGGAACUGAGACAAGGGCCAGACCCAGACGGGAGGCAGCAGUGGGGAAUAUGGCACAAGGGGCGAAAGCCUGAUUCAGCCAGGCCGCGUGUAUGAAGAAGGCCUACGGGUUGGAAAGUACUGUCAGCGGGGAGGCGUUACCCGCAGAAGAAGCACCGGCUAAGUCCGUGCCAGCAGCCGCGGUAAUAC
rnacentral:rRNA from 1 species